rnacentral:rRNA from 1 species
CGUGUAGGCGGUUUGGUAAGUCUGAUGUGAAAGCCCUGGGCUCAACCUGGGAAGUGCAUUGGAAACUGUCAGACUUGAAUACGGGAGAGGGCAGUGGAAUUCCUGGUGUAGGAGUGAAAUCCGUAGAUAUCAGGAGGAACACCGGUGGCGAAGGCGGCUAUCUGGACUUAAACUGACGCUGAGGCGCGAAAGCGUGGGGAGCAAACAGGAUUAGAUACCCUGGUAGUCCACGCUGUAAACGAUGGAUGCUAGGUGUGGGAGGUAUCGACCCCGCCCGUGCCGGAGCAAACGCAAUAAGCAUCCCGCCUGGGGAGUACGGCCGCAAGGUUGAA